GACAGGCAGGGAUAUUGGUCAGGGGCCUAUGCCAGGCGGAAGUGAGCAUUCUCGGCUUCAGCCCUUCCUUGCCCGGCCUCCUCCUCGGGACCCGGACCCUCCUGCACGGGACGUGGACUCCGAGCAGAAUUUGUUCCCGGGUGGGCGGCCCGCCCGCAGCUCGGCCUCCUCUCCUUGUCCUCCUCCUGGGCCGGAAGCCCUGACUCAGUUUCCCCGCGGGGCAAGGAGAGGGCAGAAGCCGAGAACCCACGUUUCCACCCUGUUAAGUGAAGUCAUCUCCGCCCGCGCCCAUCUCUCAAGGAGAGGCGCUGCAGAGGCGCAAGUCGCCCAAUCAGGGGGGCCGGGGCCGAUAGCUCUAUCCUGAGGCUCCAAAGGCGGUGCCCGAAGCACUGUCCAAUCGGAGUGCGGGCCUCUGGAAACGAUCCAAUCUCAAUUCCUGUGAAAGGAGUGCCUGGAGAACUGCCCAAUCAGGGCGCGGGGAUCCGGAGCACAGUCCAAUCAGGGCCAGGGGCGGGCCCGCUCCCAGCCCGUGUGAACGUCACUCUCGACCGGCGGUGGCGCUCGUGCGCAGCUUCCCCGAGCGGCACCAGGUGUACCGGCUCCGUCGCUCUCACCUGUCCGGGCCGCCGGGGGGACGUCCGGGAAGCUCUGGCGCGGGGCGGAGAUGGUGGACUUUCCAGUUCAUGAUGGAUUGGAGUUUUUCAAGGAAACUUAUCCAUCUCAGGGCCUGGGUUGAAGGUGGGACAUAACCAGGCCUCUUGAGAAUCAAAUUGUUGUUGAGGGAAAAGCAGGAAGUACUCCCAGACCCUCACUGUGUUUUCAUCCAUUACAAGCUCAUCCACGUCUGACCUUGGCUUCUUCAUACCGUGCUGAGGCCUGUAGUGGGCCGUGAAGGAGGAGACAAAAAUUGUUUUCAUGAAAAGGAACUGAUGUUUUCAAAACCAAAAUAAUUGCUUUAUUUGUAUAAUAUUUCUUUAAUUUUCUCCAAUGUGUGGACUGUUCUGGACCCUUCAGAUGGAGGAGAUGAAUGGAAGUGGCCAGAGUCACACUUAGAAGAGUUCACCGAGAUGCUGACAAAUCUAAGGUGCAGGCUGGCGGCCCUGAGGAAACUGGCGCUGACCGAGGGGAGAGACGUGGUGACAGAGCCCUGGGGUUGGUGGGAGACCACAGGCCCAUGCGGGAACUUGCUCUGAACUGAGUCCCAGUUCCCCGGUGCCGUCAGCCCGCCUCCCUCCUGCGCGCGCGUGGAGAAUGGUACUGUGUUAAGCCAGAACUUGCUGGGUGUUUCAGGGCUCAGAGGUCUUGGAGGAUGUGGCUGUGGCCUUCAGCCCAGAGGAGUGGGCUUUGCUGGAUGUGGCUCAGAGGAGCCUCUACAGAGAUGUCAUGCUGGAGACCUUCAGGAACCUGGCCUCCGUAGGUGAGGGGCACCGAUCCUUCACGUCCUCUGCAGAGCGCAAGUAUCCCCAAGCUGCUGAGCGGGUUUCAGGACUUGGGCUGAACGGUGGGAACCUACUGCUGAGGAAGGUAGACAGGGUCACGUUACCGUGGAGCCCACAGUGGGACAGCUUUCUUGUGAGAAAACUGGGGAUGCCAUAGCACUGAAGGUCAGCGCAGGAACCAGGGACCACGUCUGUGGUGAGUGACACACACACACUGGAGGAAGCAGGUCUCAGGAGAGAGAGCUGAGACAUCAGUGUGCACGUGUGUCUGUGUGUGCAGACACGUGUCAGGCCUUCCAGUCACAGAGCUUCACAGGACAGAUGGCAUAUGGUGGAGAGGCCCCCAGAAAAUCGUGAUGGUGGCGCGCGUGGAGAAGCCAACCGGAUUGCCAGGCUUCCUGUGCAGGAGAGGCCUCCUGCGGGGGUGCAGUCCUGUGGGUACAGCAAGCUUGCAAACUCAUGGCUUCUUCAUCUGAAAAAGCCACUGUGGAUUCUUCCUUGCUUCCAGGCUCCCACAGCAUUGCCUCAGCGUGGACGAAAGCCCUAUCGAUGUAAGGAAUGUGGGAGAACUUUUAGUUGUUACUCAUCCUUCAGGGCACACAUAAGAGCUCACACUGAAGGAAAAACCCUAUGCGUGUAAAGCAUGUGGAAAAGCCUUUAUAUAUUUCUCCAAACUCAGAGUCCAUGUAAGAACUCACACUGGAGAGAAGCCUUAUGAGUGUGAGAAGUGCGGGAAACCCUUCAGAUCGCCCUCAAACCUCUGGACGCACAGAGAAACUCAUUUGGUCGAGAAACCCUAUGCUUGUAAAGAAUGUAAGAAAGCCUUCUCUUCUCUUAGAAAACACGUGAAGGUUCACGGUGCAGAGAGAGUCUAUGAAUGUAAGGAGUGUGGAAAAGCCUUCCUCCGUUCUUUUUACCUGCUCAUCCACGCAAGGAUGCACACUGGAGAGAAAGCCU